rnacentral:rRNA from 1 species
GACGAACGCUGGCGGCGUGCUUAACACAUGCAAGUCGAGCGGAGCGGCGAACGGGUGAGUAACGCGUGAGUAACUGUCCCCCUCUCUGGGAUAACAGUUGGAAACGGGUUCUAAUACCGGAUAGUGGGGGAUGACUCGCGUCCUAUCAGCUUUUUGGUGGGGUAGUGGCCGACCAAGGCGACGACGGGUAGCCGGCCUGAGAGGGCGACCGGCCACGUUGAGCUGAGAUGCGGACCAAACUCCUACGGGAGGCAGCAGUGGGGAAUAUUGCGUAAUGAGGGAAACGCUGAUGCAGCAGCGCCGCGUGCGGGAUGACGGCCUUCCGGUUGUAAUCCGCUUUCAGCCAUGACGCGGUAGUAGCAGAAGAAGCACCGGCUAACUACGUGCCAGCAGCCGCGGUAAUAC